rnacentral:rRNA from 1 species
GUGAAGAAGGCCUUCGGGUUGUAAAGCACUUUCAGCUCGUGAGGAAGGUAGUGUAGCUUAAUAGCCUGCAUUAUUUGACGUUAGCGACAGAAGAAGCACCGGCUAACUCCGUGCCAGCAGCCGCGGUAAUACGGAGGGUGCGAGCGUUAAUCGGAAUUACUGGGCGUAAAGCGCAUGCAGGUGGUUUGUUAAGUCAGAUGUGAAAGCCCGGGGCUCAACCUCGGAAUAGCAUUUGAAACUGGCAGACUAGAGUACUGUAGAGGGGGGUAGAAUUUCAGGUGUAGCGGUGAAAUGCGUANAGAUCUGAAGGAAUACCGGUGGCGAAGGCGGCCCCCUGGACAGAUACUGACACUCAAUGCAAAGCGUGGGGAGCAAACA